GAUGAACGCUGGCGGCGUGCCUAAUACAUGCAAGUCGAGCGAAUGGAUUAAGAGCUUGCUCUUAUGAAGUUAGCGGCGGACGGGUGAGUAACACGUGGGUAACCUGCCCAUAAGACUGGGAUAACUCCGGGAAACCGGGGCCAAUACCGGAUAACAUUUUGAAACGCAUGGUUCGAAAUUGAAAGGCGGCUUCGGCUGUCACUUAUGGAUGGACCCGCGUCGCAUUAGCUAGUUGGUGAGGUAACGGCCCACCAAGGCAACGAUGCGUAGCCGACCUGAGAGGGUGAUCGGCCACACUGGGACUGAGACACGGCCCAGACUCCUACGGGAGGCAGCAGUAGGGAAGCUUCCGCAAUGGACGAAAGUCUGACGGAGCAACGCCGCGUGAGUGAUGAAGGCUUUCGGGUCGUAAAACUCUGUUGUUAGGGAAGAACAAGUGCUAGUUGAAUAAGCUGGCACCUUGACGGUACCUAACCAGAAAGCCACGGCUAACUACGUGCCAGCAGCAGCCGCAG
rnacentral:rRNA from 1 species